ACAAUUUCUUUCCCAACUCCUGCACAGGGAUGACGGCAUAUCACUCAAACAUCCAUUUCUCCUUGAUAUGGUUUGGCUGUGUCCCCACGAAAAUCUCACCUUGAAUUGUACUCCCAUAAUUCCCACGUGUUGUGGGAAGGACCUGGUGGGAGAUAAGUGAAUCAUGGGGGCCGUUUCCCCAGUACUGUUCUCGUGGUAGUGAGUAAGUCUCAUGAGAUCUGACAGUUUUUUGGGGUUUCUGCUUUUGUGUCUUGCUCAUUCUCUCUUUGCCUGCUGUCAUCCAUGUAAGACGGGACUUGUUCCUCCUUGCCUUCCACCAUGACUGUGAGACUUCCCCAGCCACAUGGAGGUGUAAGUCCAAUUAAAGCUCCUUCUUUGGUAAA
ensembl:lncRNA novel transcript, antisense to TRAP1